CAAUCAAACCGGGAGAUAGCUGGUUCUCCCCGAAAGCUAUUUAGGUAGCGCCUCGUGAAUUCAUCUCCGGGGGUAGAGCACUGUUUCGGCUAGGGGGCCAUCCCGGCUUACCAACCCGAUGCAAACUGCGAAUACCGGAGAAUGUUAUCACGGGAGACACACGGCGGGUGCUAACGUCCGUCGUGAAGAGGGAAACAACCCAGACCGCCAGCUAAGGUCCCAAAGUCAUGGUUAAGUGGGAAACGAUGUGGGAAGGCCCAGACAGCCAGGAUGUUGGCUUAGAAGCAGCCAUCAUUUAAAGAAAGCGUAAUAGCUCACUGGUCGAGUCGGCCUGCGCGGAAGAUGUAACGGGGCUAAACCAUGCACCGAAGCUGCGGCAGCGAACGUAUCACCCAAGACAACUUUACGGAGUUGACGAUUGACGGAGCGAAGCGACGUCAAAGCGUUCAUUAAAGUCGAGUUGGCUUAGGGAUACGUUCGUUGGGUAGGGGAGCGUUCUGUAAGCCUGUGAAGGUGUGUCGUGAGGCAUGCUGGAGGUAUCAGAAGUGCGAAUGCUGACAUAAGUAACGAUAAAGCGGGUGAAAAGCCCGCUCGCCGGAAGACCAAGGGUUCCUGUCCAACGUUAAUCGGGGCAGGGUGAGUCGACCCCUAAGGCGAGGCCGAAAGGCGUAGUCGAUGGGAAACGGGUUAAUAUUCCCGUACUUGGUGUUACUGCGAAGGGGGGACGGAGAAGGCUAUGUUGGCCGGGCGACGGUUGUCCCGGUU
rnacentral:rRNA from 1 species